CCCCAGCUUCUUUCCUUAGCUGUCUCCAGGAACCGGAUGUUGCAGAUUCUCUGAGCAGUUCUCUCCGAUGACACCUCAACAUGCAGUCUGGUGCAGGUGCCACUGUCACACAGAGAUGGGAAGGGCAUGUGCGGGUCACUUGGAAGAAACCCUGUGACCCCGAUGAGUGCAAUGUGGAUAAUGGCCUCGAGCUGCAUCCGUGUUGCUGCAGAAGACAUGAUUUCAUUCUUUUUUACAGCUGCAUAGUAUUCCACUGUGUAUACAUACCACAUUUUCUUUAUCCAGCCCACUGUUGAUGGGCACCUAAAUUGAUUCCAUGACUUUGCUACUGUGAAUAGUGCUGCAAUAAACAUAUGAGUACAGGUGUCUUUUUGAUAAAACUACUUCUUUUCCUUUCAGUAGAUGCCCAGUAGUGGAAUUGCUGAAUCAAACGGUAGUUCUAAAAUAACUUUGAAAAAUCUCCAUACUGUUUUCCAUAGGGG
rnacentral:lncRNA from 1 species